CACACACUCAUGUGUGUGUUCUGGUCGUGGUUUACACAGGAGCCAAAAAGGGUUUUUAUCAAAACCCUAAAUCACAAGAAAUUCAGCCAAAUCAAGGGAAAUCAAGCUAGGAAAUUGGGGCUUUUAAUAAAUUAGUGAUCACCAAACCUAGGGGAUUACAAGUUUGACGCCUAACAAGCUAGGUGGAAGCUUGUGGAUGAAGCGGGUCAAACGGAGCGCGUACGGAAAGAAAGGCGUGGCAUGGAUGCAAGGUGUAAAUGUCAAAUGGGUAUUAGCAACGCUAUGAAUUAGCGGUUAUAAAAGCAAGGUAUUAAAAACGGGUCAAUAUAUUGAUCUGCGCCAGGUAUGUGAAAAAGGGUAACCCUCAUUUAGAACAUGUGGUUCAAAGAGUGUUAAAAGUAGUCAAGGUGAACAUUUGGUUACUUGAUAAGUAAACCAAAUGUUUUAGGUAAGGAACAUUGUAUUUGGAAAGCUUAAUGACUUUUCAAACAAAAUCAUAGGUUAAAAGAGGGAUUACGGGUCAAAAUAAGCAUACGAGUGAAAACAGGUUUAAAUUGUGUAAUAAACCUGUGAUUAUAACCUAAUAUGGUAAAUAACCUUAAUUUGAAGUAGUGUACGUGAUAUAAAGGUUAAACAAGUAUGUUUGUUUGAUAAACGUAUAAACGGGUCAAAAUUUUGGUAAAAGAGUAAUAAGCCGAAGACUUAAAAGUCUUAAAUUUUAUUAAUCCGGAUGUUGGAUUU